rnacentral:rRNA from 1 species
UACGUAGGGGGCAAGCGUUGUCCGGAAUCAUUGGGCGUAAAGAGCGUGUAGGCGGCCCGGUCAGUCCGCCGUGAAAGUCCAGGGCUCAACCCUGGAAUGCCGGUGGAUACUGCCGGGCUGGAGUCCGGAAGAGGCGAGUGGAAUUCCUGGUGUAGCGGUGAAAUGCGCAGAUAUCAGGAGGAACACCGGUGGCGAAGGCGGGUCUCUGGGCAGUAACUGACGCUGAGGAGCGAAAGCGUGGGGAGCGAACAGG